GCCGAGUUGGUCUAAGGCGCCGCGUUAAGGCCGCGGUCUCUCCGGAGGCGUGGGUUCGAAUCCCAC